rnacentral:tRNA from 1 species
GGCGGUGUAGCUCAGCUGGCUAGAGCGUACGGUUCAUACCCGUGAGGUCGGGGGUCCCCCCCCCCCCCCCGCCAC